GAUGCAGCGACGCCACUUGAGGGAUGACGGCCUUCGGGUUGUAAACCUCUUUCAGCAGGGAAGAAGCGAGAGUGACGGUACCUGCAGAAGAAGCGCCGGCUAACUACGUGCCAGCAGCCGCGGUAAUACGUAGGGCGCAAGCGUUGUCCGGAAUUAUUGGGCGUAAAGAGCUCGUAGGCGGUCUGUCGCGUCUGGUGUGAAAUCCCAUGGCUCAACCAUGGGCUUGCAUCGGGUACGGGCAGACUAGAGUGCUGUAGGGGAGACUGGAAUUCCUGGUGUAGCGGUGGAAUGCGCAGAUAUCAGGAGGAACACCGAUGGCGAAGGCAGGUCUCUGGGCAGUUACUGACGCUGAGGAGCGAAAGCAUGGGGAGCGAACAGGAUUAGAUACCCUGGUAGUCCAUGCCGUAAACGUUGGGCACUAGGUGUGGGGCGGGUUCCACUCGUUCUGUGCCGCAGCUAACGCAUUAAGUGCCCCGCCUGGGGAGUACGGCCGCAAGGCUAAAACUCAAAGGAAUUGACGGGGGCCCGCACAAGCGGCGGAGCAUGCGGAUUAAUUCGAUGCAACGCGAAGAACCUUACCAAGGCUUGACAUGUACGAGAAAGCCCCAGAGAU
rnacentral:rRNA from 1 species